rnacentral:sRNA from 1 species
GAAACACAAUGGAUCGAAUGUUGGGAUGGUUGAAACGUCGAUCGGAGAACGCCCAGGUCACCUACUCGCGAUUCGGACUGCCCGGUGACGAAGUGGACGAACGGCCGCCACCCACGCUCUGCCACGUGGCACAUUUUGACGACGACGCUCCGGAAUACCGCGCGUUUUUUACACAUGCGACACGGGCGGCCGCCAUUGCCGCUGGCUUUGGGCUCAGCUGCUCGCUCUUCUCGUUUGCAAUGUUCUUGUUCGAAUUCCGAUGGGAUGAUCAUGGCCGAGGUUUCGAUGCGGGCACUGUUGGUAUGGAAAAUUAAUGAAAAAUUAAAUUUCCGGCACUUUUGUCGUUGGAGCGCACUUUCAGCAUGCGAUCGGCGCGAAAUUUAAAUUUUUGAGUCUAUUAUAAAGAUCUUGGCCAAAAUUUUGCACAAAAACGAUAAUAAUCUCAGGUUCUGUUGAUUUUUUCGCCGAAAAUUUAAGUUUUCGGCAUAUCUCUCAAUAGAGCGCGCUUGCCAGCGAUCGGCUGGAAAACUGGAAUUUUUCCUUCAAAUUCGAAAUUUCUGGGGCAUUUCUCAAUAGAGCAGACUUGCAUCAGGCGUGAAAUUUGAUUUUCUAGCACGAAAUCUCUACAAAUCGUGAAAUGUUACGAAAAUUCAAACAAUUUUCUCAUGAAAGUUGAAAUUCGAUUUUUUGAAAAUUGAUCACAAAUUUAUUUCGAAAACCUAAAAAAACUUUCGAUCGGAUGCAGUAAGCGCGCUCUAUCGACAAAUCUGGUAGUUUUCGCAAUAGAGCGCGCUUGCAACAUGCGGUCGGCGCAAAAUUCAAAUUUUUGAGUUAUUUUUCCAGUUUUUAAGCAAAAUUCGUCCUGAAAAUCCAAAAAAUUCAAAAUUUUUGCAGUUGCCUCCCUCCUGUUCCUGAUAAUCGGCGUCCUAGUCCAUUGGCAAGUUAUAAUCGGAAUAAAAAAGGAGUCUGCGGUGCAUAUGAUCCCAGCAAUCAUGGUCUACACGUUUUUGAUUGUCGUCGAGCUGAUUGUCUACGUUUUGGCCGC